GUCAGCGAGAAAGCGUUGCCGCAGGCAACGACCCGAAGGGCGAAGCGCGCAGCGCUGAGUCAUCCUUCCCCCAUCACCA
rnacentral:sRNA from 2 species